ACCUGGGGUGCCUUGAGGGAGCUCCUGCUGCAGGUGGGCCUCUCCCUCCGUUCCACAGGACAUUCACCUCAAGCAGCAAUACCACUGGGGCCGGUCCGACAUCAAUUUCCUUUCCAGCAUAAAGCAAAGCACCAUCUCCUCCCUCACUGUGGACAUAGCCAAUAAGGAAAUGUCGUGCAUAGAUAUCAAGCCACUGUCGGCGCUGAUUUCCGUGGGCUGUGACCAACGUAAGAGGCUUGUUGUCCAGAAGUGAGUGUGGGCCGAC